AUGUUGUUAUAUGUAUGGUUCAAGCUGGAAAGUGCACCUCCCUCUUGUACACAAAAUGCAAAUCUCUCAGGUGUGUUAAACAUAUUUAACAUUAAAAAUUACAGUAUNNNNNNNNNNNNNNNNNNNNNNNNNNNNNNNNNNNNNNNNNNNNNNNNNNNNNNNNNNNNNNNNNNNNNNNNNNNNNNNNNNNNNNNNNNNNNNNNNNNNGUGUGUUUGAUUGUUGCAGGAGGACUGCUGCUGAGGCUCUGUGGGAACUAUGGAAGAGUCUUCAGGUUGAAGGCUGAUGUCCAGAGUUACAGGAGGACUGCUGUUGACUCGGUCUGCAGGAAACACACAAGAGUCUUCAAAAAUUAUCUGGACCUUCAGGUUCCUGUACCCCAAAUCCCAUCGCUCCCAUCCAGAGCCCCAGACUCUCACACACACUGUGUGAGCGGCUGAUGACGUUGGGACCAGCGGACGUUUUCCACAAAGAAGACUGCGGGGUGGGUGGAGGAGAGAAAAGAGGGUUGCCAGUGUUAAUACUCAAUAAAAUUAUUUUAAAAUCCAUAACCGCCUGCUUUUACCUCUCUGGAAACCCGGGAGGGGACACGGCCCCCUCCUCUCCCUCUGCAGCGGGGUGAGGCUCCAGGAACCGGGCACCGAGCGAGCCUCGAACCAGACACUUCUGCAUUCUGGCCGCUCCCACGCACACUGCGCCACCAUGCUCCCUUCACACUAGAACAUCUUCUCCGGGCGCUUUUAUCUUUUUACUUUGGCCGCUGGAGCACAAAACACACUGAGCCUCAUAAGAGAAUCGAACACACAACCUCUGGUCUCCUGACCACUCUUCUAACCCUCAGCACUGUUUGAUCUGAGACACUUUAUCUAUAUUUCUAACAGCUUUUCACUUGUUUCUUUGAACAUUGGACUUCAUAAUUCACAGUUGAGUGAGGCUCCAACCCCACAUCCAAUCAGACAAUCAUCUGCUUAUCCACUGACACACACAGUGUACCACUGACACACAGUAGAGUCCACUGACACACAGUAGAGUCCACUGACACACAGUGUACUUUUCUUGACCUCUUUGAGGAGAGAACACACAAAAUGUAACGUUGGAUCAUCCUUUAGCAGCACCUUAUCUCACUGAGCUACACCUCAGGCUGCUGGUUUGCUGCUUCGUAGUUGUAUUUAUUGUUCACAUUACUGAGGAGAAACCUUUAAAAGUCUCACACACAGGAGCUUGGAUUUGAACCCUCAACCUCAGGUAUCAACACCACCAGCUGCUUAUCUUGCUGAGCUAUUCCUGCUACAACCUGGGGGGUUAUAUGAGCUCUAAUGGAGCUCUUUGUGUCUCAGGUGUAACAUUUAUGGACGUCACAGCUGUUAGUGCUUUUAAAAAAAAGAGACAGUAGUAGUAGAAAUAGUUCAGUGAGAUAAUCUGCUGAUGUUGAUACUUGAGGUGGAAGGUUUGAAUCUUCAAACUUUCAGGUUUCCCUUCAGCAACAUGAACAAUAAAUACAACAAUGAAGCAGUGACCCAACAACAAACAAAAUACAUUUCCAAAGAUGUCUCAGUCCAGAUAAAGUAUAAACUUUACUUCUGUGCAAAUGUUUUCUGCCAAAUAGAAAAAUAUCGUACCAGAGGAGAUGAUGUCCUCCACUGACGCUGCAGAUCUACAAGUGUGAGACAAAUUAAAGUCUUAACAUGAGAAAGUGAUUUCUACAUAUAUUUAAUGAACUGUGCAGCACUAAUUUACAGAAUCUACAGCUACCGCAAUAAAUGAUUUAAAGGAUUCAGAAAAAUGAUGUCUGUCUUUAAAAAUCAAAAAGGAAAAGUUGUUUUACAGCCAGAAUAACACCAUUAAAAUGUACCUGAUGUUAGUGGAUUUACAGCUGCAACUUCAGUCACUAUCAGUGUUUCUGCAGGUUUUAAGAUCAUUAUGUUUGCAAUUCAAAACCUAAUUCAUGUCCACACUGCCAAUAAAGUACUAUGGAUAUGUAUUGGUUCAUUGUGACAUUGUUACAUCAUCAAUACACAUUUUCCACCAAAAACAUCUAAAAGUGAGACUGAAAUUUCAACUUUGUACAAAUAUCAUUGACUUCAUCAUCCAAUCACACUUAAGACAUUUUAAGGCCUAAAAUUCUGAUUGUAUUGUUGUUAAAACCCUGCAGACACCCUGGUCUUCAUGACAUAGAGAAUUAUUGUUGACAUUUCUUUGUUUGUUUAUAUUUAUAUAUCAUAGUUGAACAGGAACAGCUGCUGUUAAGAGAGACACCACUUCCUUUGUUAGAAUAACCUCAUGUACA
rnacentral:lncRNA from 15 species